AAAGAGCAGAAAACGAGUCUCCCGAGUGACCAAUGAGGACAGAACAGCUGGCGCCUUCACGUUGUUUGCUAGCUGACAGAAGGAGAGAGCUUCACCAUUGAUCUGGAUGAACAGCUACGUGAGGCGUGCACAGACCCCCACAGCCUGCAUGCCGCCCGGGAGCCAUGGGUGACAGCCAUGGAUCGCCCACCGCACCACAGCACAGCAUGGAUAACACACGGCCAGAGAGGAGGCUGACCACUACCACACACAGAGCAAAGGAACGAACAUACGGCUGAAGUAGUGUCGGGAACACAAAUAGUGGCCCUGGGAUUAAGUUGCUGUUGUAACAUGAGGAAACAUUGCUCAUGUGAACUGCACUGGAAGUAAGGAGGAGAGAAUUCCUGAAGUUUGGGAACUGCACUGGAAGUAAGGAGAGAAAUGCUGAAGUUUGUGAACUGCACUGGGAAGAGGUGAGAGCAACAUUCGCAAUAGGAUUUCACUCAGGAUCUUCCACCAACUGGCGGGUCCCAGCUCAGGCACCUCUCCAGUGUGAUGAUGCACACAACUGCCUAGCAAGGCUUGUACAGCCACACCCUCUGGGCACAUAUGUGGCCUCCCACACUUGCUGGCAGUAGUGCUAUCUCAUUGCUGGGCCUGGCCAAGCCCCCUCUUCACCUUACCUCAUCCAUUUGCUGCUACAGAACCACUUCACAGUGAGUGAGACUGUAGUGGACAUCCUCUAAUAAGAAGGCCUCCUAAAGGCUGGUUUCACAGGAAGGCAGAUGUGAUGCCCCAAACAUUACCCUGGAGUGUGUAAGGCAGCCACCUGCCAUAUAGUACCAGGCAAGCUGAUUUCACCAGGGUUGUCUUGUACUUAGGAGAUAUGACAAAACCUCUUCCUGGACCACGAUACUUUUCAGUCACCCCUACAGCUGUCUUCUCCUGCACAGGAUGCUGCAUCUUCUGCUUAGGUGCCACUCAUUGCAGGGGUUACCUCUUGGGAGUGUGGCAUGCUUCACCAGGAUUAUAUAGGCUAUGAUGUCCAACUCAGCUGAUGAAGGCACUUCAGCAUCCUGGGCCAGCAUUCUCCUCAUUACCGUGGCUUGCUGCUCUGAAAGCUGUGUUGGCACUCAGUGCUCACCAAGUCCUCAAAUCCUCAAGGUAGAUGAGUGACGUCCUUGCUGCCUCCUUGACCACAUUGAGGCAUGCAUGGCUCCUUCUGGAAUGGCAAGGUGGUGGUGAUUGGGUGGGAACUCCCUUGCUGACACAGUGUAUCCUUUCAGCCACCUGACGAGACACGGUGCUCUGGUGCUCACAUCACUGUGUAACAAUAAAGAUAUGCAAAGUUA